GCUGAGGAUCACUUCCAGAGGCAGCUGCACUUUGCAUCACCUUUCUAUAGUUUUCUCUGAUAGUCUUUCUCCGCAAAUUCCCACAUUGCUAUUGACGCCAGGUCUUGAACACAAGCUCUGCAGAUGAAUCGAGAUGCUAAAUGAGUUCCAGCAUCCCUGCUUCUCUGCUGCAUGUACUCCAAGGACAGAUGGCAGAGGAAGACACCACCUGUCUGACAAAAGGCCAUUCCUGGUUCAUGCUCUGAAUGUCACGCUGAGUAGCCAUGACUGUUGCUGAGGACACACCAAUUGUUAUGUAAUGAUAGGUUCAGGUUUGGCAUUGCCCUUGCUUCUUGGCACAGCAUAAUGUUACUAUUUUUAAAACCGAGCAUGACAGCGUAGAUACUGAAAUGGAAACGGAGCCAGAACCACGCUGGAUUCGAUUGGAAGCAUCAAGAGGCUGACAUUCAAAUGUCCAUAGAUUCCCCAACUCAUUUAUUUUUCAUUGUGAGAUUUACUUUAAGAAUCAAGGCUGCAAGACCCUGACUCAAAAAGAUAUCUAGAUUGCUAUCCUAUUAGGCAAUAUCAAUUUAAUAAAUAAAUGCUUUAAUUUUAACAUCAGUGUGUAUUAAUAAAGAUUUUAAUUUUAAUUUUAGUUGCCACUUAAUGACUUCAUUCUUAGAAGUAGUCUUUAAAGUUAUGCUGUUCAUUGCAUAUUUUGUUUUCAAAUUAGUAGUACCAGAUAUAAAUUACCAUGCAAAAUUGGUCAAGAAAAAAAUUUAAGCACUAACUGUUCCUUUCAAUAAACCAAUAGAUAGCAGCAGUACAAUUAUCCCAGCUAUCCUUGUAUAUCUAUCUAUCUAUCUAUCUAUCUAUCUAUCUAUCUAUCUAUCUACUUCAACCGUUGCUUAAUUUCUACCAUCUUGUUUAGUGAAGCUCUGUAUCAUUUCCAAUGUUUUUAAAAUUACUUUUUAUUCUGUUUAAUUGUUUGAUCAAUUUUGCCUUCUUACUUCUGGUAAUCUGAGCAACUUCAUUGAAGAUGACAAUACGUAAUAUAACAACCACUGUUAAUUUGUAUCAUCUUGUUUUGAAAUUCUGUGUCAUUUUUAUUGUUUUUGUGUUGUUUUAUUUUGAUCUUGGUUAUUGUUAUUUUGUUAUUGUUUUUUCUCUUUAAAAU
rnacentral:lncRNA from 1 species